AAGCAGGCUAUUAGAAUUUUGCAAAUACCAACCGACCAAAUUCUCACACCAACGGGGCUGCUGUUAUUAUUACUUCAUUUUGCAGAAGGCUACAGUCGCUUUCCCAACCAGUGACUUCAUUGAGGCAGGUCGUUCAUCGGGGACGACCGUGCUUGUAAAAAGAAGACACAAUGACACUUGUGAGCAUUUUACACCAUGGCCAGCCUAGUUCAAGAGCCUCAUCAACUCCAGCAUUAAUGAUCACUUCUGGGGAUUAGUACCGAGCGGUAACAGGAGCUUCUUGCUCAUCUCCAGGCUCCCUGACCUCCGAGUACCUGGCUGCUCUUCCCUGGUGAAGUCAGGAUUGGCUCAAUCUCCACCAGCUUUUUGGGAGACUGUCCCUCACCUUAUGGAUAGGCAGGUUUGGAGGAAGGAAGCCCUCUGCGGGCAGGAAGUUAGUCGUGCUGACUCACAAGCCAACGGAGAGUAAUCCAGGAAACUUGUCACUCUGUUGCCAUGGCAUCGGGGUGGCCAGGCACCCCUUCCUCUCUUGAGGCUCACUCAAGGGCUGGGUGUCCCGCAGUGGGGGCAGGGCACAAUCAGACCUCAAGACUCUGCAUCCCGAGUUCUUAGGAGUCCGGCUUCCUAGCAAGUACUUAGUUAUCCUCUCAAAACUGCUGCUCAGCACGGAGGCUGUGCUGGGAUUCAACCCUUCCUAGUCUGCAGAGUUUAGGAGAUGCAUUCAUGGAGCUGAGGAGCCUACUCUACCCAGGCUGAGAAAACAAAAUUCCCAGACAGACAGUGUGGACAUGCCCACGCCCACGGAAGGUUAUUAGUUACCCCAGCCUUCUAAAAUCCUCCACUGUUUUUAGUGGAGGCCUGACCUCUCACAGAGGAAGAGAAUGAGGAGAGAGAGGAGGAACGUGUCACCCAAAAGGAAGAGGGAUACAAGCAGUGGUUCCCUUCCACAAAGCGUCAAACUUUCUCUUUAGCUUCCAAAGAAACGUUUUUUGGUUUUGUUGCUCACUCCCCAGGCCGGGUGCUACCUGUCUCUGGCUGGACACUGAUCACGGCACUACGGUGACAAGGGGCAAAAGUACCCAAGCAAGAGCCAGUUGCCAGCUGACCUCGGUUCAAGUCCUGUUUACCAGAUUAGCUGCGUGGCCUCGAAAUCAAGGUCCAGGGAGAGAGACUGAUUUGCCUGAGAUCGAUAUGCAAGUGGUAAAGCUGGAAAGGGGUACUUAAUAUCACCCCCUCUCCUGGCCUUUCCUCUGCAGCCAGGGCACUGUGGGCCUCUGAAGCAUUCAGGCUCACUGCUGCACUGACCCACUUGUUUGCAGAAGACAGGGAGAGACCCAGACACACUCCCUUCCCAAGAAAACACCAAGGGUGCCAGCCACUCCCUUCCUCAAGGCCAAGGGUUUAGCUAAUUCAUGAGGGGGAGGCCAGACACUGGUGGUGAAGGGGAGGGAGGCAGGCUCCAUUGAUGCAGGUUGAUCUCACCCAAAGAUAAUGAUGUAGUUGUUAUGUAGCGUCCUGUCCCAGCAUAACUCAAGAUCUCUGGCCUGAAGGUGUCCGUCCCCAGUGUUAACUUCUGGGGCUUAACCUGCAGCCUCCAGGGGCACCUCUUGGAGAGGAUUCUUGUACCACCUUCUUGGGACUAGAGGGGGGAAAAUAUGUCUACCUCGUAAUCUUGCAAGAGCCCCGUUCAAGGGGAACAUGUCCCACCCUCCUCCCCCACACCCAGUGACUCAGAGGCAAGUUUCUGGAGAAGAAACUGAGGAUGGGGAGUGGCUGUCAACCCCUAGGCUGAGGCUCUUGGAAAAUGCGGGGGGGGGGGGGCGGGGGAGGGCGCGUA